ensembl:snRNA U6 U6 spliceosomal RNA
GUGUUCACUUCAGCAGCGCAUAUACUAAAACUGGAAUGAUACAGAGAAGAUUAGCAUGGCCUCUGCUCAAGGGUGACACACAUAUUCGUGAAGUGGUUCAUAGUUUU